GUGGGGAAUAUUGGACAAUGGGCGAAAGCCUGAUCCAGCCAUGCCGCGUGUGUGAAGAAGGUCUUCGGAUUGUAAAGCACUUUAAGUUGGGAGGAAGGGCAGUAAGUUAAUACCUUGCUGUUUUGACGUUACCAACAGAAUAAGCACCGGCUAACUUAGUGCCAGCAGCCGCGGUAAUACGAAGGGUGCAAGCGUUAAUCGGAAUUACUGGGCGUAAAGCGCGCGUAGGUGGUUCAGCAAGUUGAAGGUGAAAUCCCCGGGCUCAACCUGGGAACUGCCUCCAAAACUACUGAGCUAGAGUACGGUAGAGGGUAGUGAAAUUUCCUGUGUAGCGGUGAAAUGCGUAGAUAUAGGAAGGAACACCAGUGGCGAAGGCGACUACCUGGACUGAUACUGACACUGAGGUGCGAAAGCGUGGAGAGCAAACAGGAUUAGAAACCCUGGUAGUCC
rnacentral:rRNA from 1 species